UUACGCUGUUAUCCCUAAGGUAAUUUAGUCUUAUAAUCAACAAAAAUGGAUCAAAUAUAUAUAAAUAUAUAUAAAAAAAUAAAAAGAGUUAAUUAAAUCUUUCCAUCACCCCAACAAAAUAAAUUUUCAAAUUAAAAAAAUAUCAUACAAAAAAAUAAAAAUAUAUAUAAACUCUAUAGGGUCUUCUCGUCCCAAAAAAAUAUUUAGGCAUUUUAACCUAAAAUUUAAAUUCAAUAAAUAAAUUAAAGACAGUUUACACCUCGUCAAACCAUUCAUUCCAGCCUACAAUUAAAAGACUAAUGAUUAUGCUACCUUUGCACGGUCAAAAUACCGCGGCCCUUCAAUAUUCAGUGGGCAGGCCAUACAUCAAAAUAUAUUCAAGAAGAGAUGUUUUUGAUAAACAGGCG
rnacentral:rRNA from 1 species